rnacentral:lncRNA from 1 species
UAAGAUAGAGGACAGUGCCCGCCUGCCAAAACAAAAAGGCUUCCGCUCCAGUUCCAUUCCCAAUAAGUUCAAGGAUAGUGCCCGCCUGCCAAAACACACAAGGCAAAAGAAGGGAUCGGUAAUUUGUAAAGGGUACUUCUACUGGGGCCAAAACUCCAAUGAAAAAGCAUUUGCUAGAUAAUUUUGAAUGUGCAUUCAACAUAUCAAUAUAGGGGACGGAGCUAACUCACCUGUUACUCUCACUGUUACUCUCACUGCCCUUAUUCCUGUAAGUAAACAAUUACCACCUUAUAUUAGCAUAUGGCAGAGUCCAAUUGAUAUCCAUUAUUAGCCAUUUUUAUAUUAUGACAUUGAGGCCUUAAAAAAAUCCUCACAUGCAUAAAAACAGCAAAUGAAUAGUGCAAUUAGAAGGAUCUUCAAAUUAAAAGUUAUUUUCUCGUAACAACUACAGAAUAUCUAUACAUUUGUUCAUAUAGCUUGUAUUUCUUAGUGCAAAUUUAGGAUAGAUGAUUGAGUAGCUCACUUUUUCAUUCGAAGGAAAAACCAACUCCUAAGUCAUGUCAAAUGUUUCUUCCAGCGAAAUACACUUUUGUGUAGUCCAACUCAAAUAUCUCAAGAGCUGCAAAUUCCUGGCACACUAGUGGAUAUAUCAACUGAGAAGGAAAAAACAAUGAAUCAGAUCACUUGUCGAAACUAUGUAGUUCUUUCACCAAUCCUUGUCCAAAUACUGUUCAUAGCCCCAGUGCAUGGAAAAAGGAGACCACAUAUCGCAUCUUCAAAUACCACUAAAGGAGUAAGUUCCAUUAAAAAUAUAGAAGCUGUUGCAGAGAAUAGUGAUAAUUCACAUGCCUUGGAAUUGUUAAAAAGGCAGCUUGAUCGCAUUGUCAAACGGUCAAACAAACUAGGCUCAAAGGUAUGGAUUUUCUAAAACAUGCAGAUACAGAGAAUGAGCAUUCUCACAUAUCGUUCUCAUUUUCUAUUUAUUUUCUCAUGGACACAGGCAUCUGAGGGCACGCAUGUUUUUAUUUAUGUUCCCGGGAACAGAAAUAAAAUAAUAAUAAAAAAAUGUUUUUGUUCCGGGGAACAAUUUUUGAAUAAAAAAACGCGUUUGGUAAACUUGUUCCGGAAAUAAAAAAUGAACAGAAACACGUUUGAUAAAUUUUAUUCUUUUUUUAUUUCUUUUAAUUUUUUAAUAUUUUUAUUUUAUUUUUCAUUUUUUCAUUUCUUUUUUAUUUUUUCUUUUUUCGGCCGGUCAGUGGUGGUCGGCGACCAGCCGAUGGGGCCGGCAGCCUCGCCCAGCCACGACAAGGCUCGCCGGCCCCCAGCAAGGCCGAGCCUCGUCGUGGCUGGGCGAGCUCGAGCUCGCCCCGAUCCGGCGAGGCCGAGCCUCGCCGGGGGCUGGCAAGGCUCCGGCAAGGUCGUCGACCCUCGAUGGCCGGUCGCCGGCCAUGGCCGAGGCCGGCAACCAACGAAAGAAAAAAGAACAAAAAAAGAAGAAGAAAAGAAGAAGACAAGAAGAAACGUUUCUUCAAAAUUGUUUCUGGAACAAGAAGUAAGUUUUUUUUGUUUCUUUUUUUUGUUCCUAAGAACAAAAAAACAAAAAAGUGUUUCUAAACAUGCAACCCUGAGUGUAGUUUGGGAACUAAAGAAUGCAUACUCAUGCUGAGGGUUGAGUGACGUUGAGAAAGGCGAGUGACACCAAGGGUUGAGUAGCUUCAAGAGAGGAGAGCGGCAUCAAAGGGCGUUGAGUAGUGCCAAGGGUCGAGCAUCGUCAAGGGGCAUUGAGCGAUGCCGAGGGUCGAGUGGCGUCAAGGGGCGUCCAACGGUGCAGAGGGUUGAGCGGCAUCGAAGGGCGUCGAGGGCGACGAGUGUCAAGGGGCAUCAAGGUCAUCGAGGGGCAUCGUCGAGAGGAGUGAGUCGAAUCAUCGGAGAGAGAUUUUAGAGUGACAUGAGGGAGUUGAGGACAGGGCAAACAGGGAAAAAGAAGAAACAUAAAGGGGAAAGGGGAACAAACAAAUUGAAAUCUAGGAUUUUCACAUUUUAGAUUCUAGAAUCCGGUUCUGGUUCCAAUUCCAGUUCCUAUAGGAAUCGGGAACUUGUUCCCAAAAAAAAGGAACUGGGAACCGAAACCUCCCUCUUACCCCUAGUUGGAAUAUACACAUCAUACGCAACGAUGCUAGCACGACACAUGCAUAACACUCUUAGGAGUCCAACGCCUGCUAGAAGAAGUAGAAGUAGGGGAAGGGAACCAACCGCACAAUAUGCCUCUUGUUGUGCGAUUGCAACAUCUAUAGUUUGCAUCGUGCUAGGUUUUGGUUAGUCCAUCUUCUCCUCUCUCUAGCUCUCUAGCAUUGUGUCCAAUAUUUCCAAGCAUUCCAUCAAGUUUUUCCAUAAAAACUAAUCAAUUCCUUGUAAAUCGAUGAUGUUGCCCAAAAAAAAACGAUAACAAUAAUUUGGUUAUAUUUGAGUGCACUUUUUUUUUCUUUUAUUUAUUAGUGAUAAAAAUAAUAAAUCUAUUGCCAAAGGUCCUUUUUUUAUUUGGUAAGAGCCAAAGGUCCUUUUUUAAUGCAUAAAAAACAACCAAAAUUACUUAAUUAUAUAUAACGUCAUCCACUUUUUCCUUCUUUUUUAGCCAAUUUGGGAUAAAUCAUCCUGGAAAAUAGUUCCUGAAAAAUAGUUCACAUAAUAUUUUCUUUUUCAUUUUUAUGUUUUCAAUUUCUUAUAUGUGGCUAAAUUUACUUGGAAUAUUAGUAUAACAAAUAAGAUUUUUGGCAAAAAUUGGAGUGAUGAGUGAGGCAAGCGUAUACAUAAAGCCAGACCUACAGUUGAGCAGUGAGGAUGAUAAUUUAUGGUUGGGAAUAUCUAAACUCUUCUCCCUCUUUGGGUCGGCACUAAUUGGGUCCACCUCCAACAAACUUCCCAGCCGUAUCAAGGUUGUGUUGCCUAUAUCCAUUCACUUUGUGGGCUCCCUUUUCAUGAUCUUUGGGCUAGGCUUUUUCUACUUACUACUGGGCUGCCUUAUCAUCAAUAUCAGGACGGGCUAUACCUUUACUAUAGCUUCUAUCUACAUUAUGGAAAUAUCUCAUACCUUUUACCGUGGCCUACUCACGUCAUUCUUCAAGGUAGUCAUUUCUUUCCUAAUUUUGUAGCAUAUAUUUAUUUUUUAAAAUUUAUCAUUUGUCUAAGUAAAAAUUAAGGUUAGAAAAUUUCAGUUAAAGAAGUUAAUUGUUUUGUAUGCUUGUUUGGGUGUUUCAAAUUUUCAUGAACGAGGGCACCCUCUUGGCCUACGUCUCCCACUAUUUCUUAUCCAAAAUGCGCACGGUCUUACCUGCUCUAUUUGGGAGGAAUCCUCUUUGACUUGAUCGCUUCCAAGGUGCUGGUCAUGCCAUACCAAAAUCUCCACGAUGUCUUGUCAAGCAUGGUCGCGUGAAGGAGGCGAGGGGCAUCCUGGCAUGGAUCUCUGACUCCGAGGAAGAGGCGGCACAUCGGCUGAAUGAGGUCAUUAGCCAGAUCAGUGGGGAGGGCAUGUGGCAGGCUGUCAUCCACCCAACCCAAUCAAUCCUACACAUGAGCAUUUGUGUGUUUGGAAUCUACCUAUUCCAACAAGUUUCUAGAGCUGACACCAUGCUUGUCUACGGCCCUCGCAUUUUUGAGUAGACGAGUAUUGUCAACCAUAAGGAACAACUCCUCCUCAUAACAAUAGACCUUGUGAAGACCAUGUUCACUCUAGUCUAUGCCAUUAGCAUUGAUCGAGUGGAGCGGCGAAGGUUGAUGCUUAUUAGUGUUGGCAAGAUGAUUGUCACUCGCCUCCCUAAGUGUAUCCCUCACUAUCAUCCAACACCAUGAGGAAGUCAAGUAGGCUGGUGCCAUAUGCAUCUUCUCAUUACUGUGCUACACGGCCUCCUUUUCCAUUAGGAUGGGGCCAGUAGCAUUGGUCUACAGUUCAAAGAUCUUUCCAAUGAGGUUGCACGCCCAAGGGUACGGAAUUAGUGUUGUAAUGGGUCAGAUGGUAAGCGGCGCGAUGUCCAUGAGUUUUAUGAUUUUGUAUAGAGUGGUCACCCUAGGAGGUGCCGCCUUCCUAUUCAUGGGGAUGGCUAUCUGAGUCUUUGUCUACAUCUUAAUGUCGAAAACAAAACAAAGGUCACUUAAAGAUAUUACAAUUAUUUGGCUCAUGAACAACAUGGAGCAGCGCGAGGGCCAACCGGGGGCCAAUCAGGGUGCUUGAUAUCAUUUUUAUGAUUCCGAUUCCGAAUUCCGGACAUACUCUAUUUAGUAAUUUUGAAAUCUCAAUUAAAUUUUAGUGAAGUAUGACGAUUUUCAGUUGACACUCUAAUAUUGAACAUCUCAAUUACAUAUUGAUGAAGCUGUAAUCAUCAAAUAUCACAGAUCAAUAUUAUGUUCCAUUACCGUGUAAUUACACGGUAUAACUAAUUGAAUGAACUAAUUACACUCCUAAAAUACGGGAUAAAUUAAAUGAAUUAAUUACACGGUAAUGAAGCAUAAUAUUGACAUGUGAUAUUUGAUGAUUACAGCUUCAUCAACAUGUAAUUGAAAUGUUCAAUAUUAUAGUUUCAAAUGAAAACCGUCAUACUUCACUAAAAUUUAAUUGAGAUUUCAGAAUUACUAAGUAGAGUAUGUCCAGAAUUCAGAAUAGAAUCAUAAAAACGAUAUCAAGCACCCUGGUUGGCCCUCGUGCUGCUCCACGCUGUCUAUGAGCCAAAUAGUAGUGUAAUCUUUUCAAGUGACCUUUAUUUUGUCUCUAGCAUUAAGAUGUAGACAAAGACCCAGGCCAUCAUAGCCAUCCCCAUGAAUAGGAAUGCGACACCCCCUAAGGUGAUCGCUCUAUACAGAAUCAUAAAACUCAUGAACAUCGCGCCGCUUACCACCUGGCUCACUGCAACGCCAAUUGUGCACCCCUAGGCACAUAACCUCAUCGGAAAGAUCUAUAAGCUAUAGACCAAUGCUACCGGCCUUAUCCCAAUGAAAAACGAGGCUGUGUAGCACAGCAAUGAAAAGACGCAUAUGGCACUAGCCCACUUGACCUCCUCAUGGUGGUGGAUGAUAUUGAGGGAUACACCUAGGGAGGCGAGUGACAAAAUUAUCCCGUCGACGCUAAUGAGCAUCAACCUCACUACCCCACUAUAUCAAUGCUAAUGGCACAGACUACGGUGAACAAUGUCUUCACAAGGUCCACUGCUAUGAGGAGGAGAAGCUGUUCCCUAUGGUUGACAAUGUUCGUCUGCUAAAAAAUGCGAGGGCCGUAGACAAGCAUGGUGUCAGCUCCAGAAGCUUGUUGGAACAAGUAGAUUCCAAACACACAAAUGCUCAUGUGUAUGAUUGAUUGGAUUGAGUGGAUGACAACUUGCCACACACCUUCCCCACUAGUCUGGCUAAUGACCUCAUCCAGUCGACAUGCCGCCUCCUCUUGGAGUAGAGAUCCAUGCCAAGAUGCCCCUCACCUCCUCCACACGACCAUGCUUGACAAGCCACCGAGGAGAUUCUAGCAUGACCAGAACCCCAAAAGUGACCAAGCCAAAAGGACUUCUUCCCAAAUAGAACAUGUAAGAUCGUACGAAUUUGGUGCACAUCCUAGAUAAGAAAUAGUGGGAGAAAAAGGAUUUCAAGCUACGAAAGCACAUCAAGUUAGGAACUCUAGGCUACGAGAGCACGCUGUGUCAAUUAAGAGACAUCGGGCUAUGAAAGUACGCCGAGUCAAUGAAAAGGACUCUGGGUUACGGAAGCACGCCAGGUCAAGAACUCUGGAUUACGAGAGCACGUCGUGUCAAUUAAGAGAAUUAGAUAUCGGACUAUGAAAGUACGCCAAUUUGAUAGAGAAGACUAGCCUACAAAAGCACGCCAUGUCAAUGAAAAGAACUCUAGGCUAUGGAAGCACGCUAAAUCUCAAGGUUUCAAGGAGCAACUUGAACGUCAAGUAUUAUUCGGUCUUCAAGGAAAUAUUAUCUGUCAGACAUUAUUAGAGCAAAAACUGGUAUGCAUUCACCAAAGAGGUAGACAAUAUGAGCUACUUUAAAAUGCACAAUUCAAUGAAGUUUUUAUCAGUUCAAUCAAGGUUUAUGCAUAAUGACUUUAUCAUAUUUGCAUCACCCAAAUUUCCACAGGAGAGAAUUGUCAUUCAAAACAAUGGCAUGGAUUUCCUAAGAAUACUAAAUGAGAGACUUUCAGUUAGAAAAGACUUUCACUCACUCUUAUUUAGAAUGGCUAUUUUAGGAGAAUCACUCCGAUCUCAUUAUCAUCAUACCAACAAGGGUUCGAGUAUCAUCGCAAGCAGUACGACCUUACCAAUCUAAGAGGUCUUUAAUUGGGACUAUAAUGUGGGCUUAGUCAAUGGCUUAACAUAGAGACUCUUUGAAUUAAGGCAAUUGAAAGAACAAUUCUAUAAUUAUCUCUGGGUUUACAACUCAAGAACUCUGCAAAAUGAGAAAAAAAUAAUCUUGUUCGCACUUUUUCGAGCGAUGCUUAAAACAUAUGAACCCCUACAUUAAUUCAAGUGCCAUAAUUAAAAGAGAUUUUGCAAGGGACGUAACGUAGACGAGGUUCAUGGGUUGAGAAAUGAAAUGAUUAUUAGGCUCAAAAAAGUGUAUAAGGAUCAAAGUUGAUGAUCAUCUAGGCAUUGUCACAGGUCUUGUCCUUCACCAGGGAUUGUCAUUAUGAAAAAAUUAAUUUUGAUCCAAAGAUGACCGGAGUUUGAUAGUUUUGAUCAAGAAAAUAUUUUCCUUAAUCAAUACGUCUAAUCAUUGACUAGGUUUUUCUAUUAUUAUUUUAUUUUAUGUAUACAUGUCUUUGGAGGGAAUAAAUAGAUGCACAAGCUCCUUUUCCAAAUUGAUGAAAAUUGCAUGCAAGUUAGAUGAAUUAAAUUUUGUUGAGGUUUUCCUCAAUGGCUAAUGAAUUAUGAAACAUUUUAUUAUUAUUAUUAUUAUUUGCAAUCUCAAGAUAUUUUCUGCUGCUUUUUUUUAGUGUAAUUAAUAUUUCAAAAAGAUAAAUUGAAGCGGUGAGCUUUUAUUCACCAAAACACAGUGUGAAAAUAUAAAAAAAGAAAAGAAAAGUAUAAGUAUCUCGGUAUAGGGUGUCUCAUCCUGAAAUAAAGCCUACCAAAACUGGAGUUGCUCGGGGAAUUGCUUUGAAACAAGAAAGAAGAAAGCAUCCUCUUCUUCGAAGAGGAAUCAGAAUGGAAGUAAAAGGAAGAAGAAUAAUGGAAUGAUUCAGAAUCAAGAUGGAAGCUGCAUGAGCUCGAUGGUCAUUUUACAGAGGAAGGAAUUGAGGUGUUAGAUGCAAUAUUGGUCUUUUGUUGAUUUGAUUUUCAUUAUUUUGUUUUGUAAAAUUCAUGAUUAUCGCCUUUUUCUUGAAGUGACUCUCAGUUCAAGCUUGGUAGCUAUGAGAUAAUGGUUUUAUGAGGAGUAGAAAAAUCAUGUCCCCAUUCCCAUUUUCUUGAUUUCCCUCUUUAUAUCACGCUAAAAAGGGCAUGCUGAUGCUUGCCCUUUUCAACAUGAACCUUCUUUUCUUGCCCAUUUUAAAAUAGGGGAACAUAAUUUUGAUCUUAUUUUUAGAAUUGUGAGGAAUUUCUUUUCACUUUAUGGACAAGAGGAAUAGGCUUUAGAGGCAUGGUUAAGGAAAUUUGUGCCCAAGGCCCAGGUUGAGCAUGGUAUCUCAUUAAAAAGAUCAAAAUGUUUGAGAUGCGUUAUCAAUGUCAACAGAUGUCAGGUAUCUACUGCUAUAUUGUGAGAUGGAGAUAAAAGUUCAAAGAGCUAUUUCGAAGAAAAAGAGGCAAAAUGAAAGAAUGGUAUUAAAAAAAGAUUAAAUUUUUUCAAUAAAAUUUGGUUUCUUCUUUUCUUGUCGAUGCUUAUGUGUGCUUGAUGUUUAGCUCAUGGAAAAAUGUAUGAAGUUAUUUUUCAUGCAAAUAGUUACUUUUUUUUUCUAAAUUGACUAGUAAUUAUGAAGAUAGGUCACAUGCACUACAUAAAAGAGAAUGCAAAAAAGAAGUGGAAAGAUUUCAAAAGUUUGAGAAGGUUCAAUUAUGAAGAUAGGUCACAUAGACAACAUAAGGAGCCAUAUUGCCUCCAAAGGUGGUAUCCUAUAAAUCUUUCUUUGAAAUGGUUACAAUCCAAAUACAAACUUCUUAUUGGGAAAGAUAUUGAACCAAUUUAUCCUAAAUGAUUGCAUCCUUUCAGUUUUUUCCUAGAUGUCUACUCUCUCUCUCUCUCUCUCUCUCUCUCUUUUCUUGUUGAUGGGUGAAAAUAUACAGAUCUAUCUUUUUUUAUCUAAUUAGAGACUUUGAGUUUGCUUGUUUUUUCAAGAAUAGUCACAACCUUUUAACUCUUGUUAAAUCUGUAAAAGUUAUAUUUUCCCCCAAAUGUUAUCCAAGGCAUUUUUCACAUGGAUGGUGCUUGUAAAUCAUCCUUAUGUUAAUUCUUUUGUUUGGAUACUCUUUUUAAUCUUCACGCAAAAAUUGAAUAAAUAACCACCACACAAACUUGAAACGUCAUAAAUAUGUGGUUGAAGAUAUAUGGUUGUUGACAUAUAUACACACGUAUAUAGUUAUUGAAUUAAAUUAUAGAUAAAUUAUUUAAGCAUAAAAUUCUAAACAUAUGUUUUCUUACAUGAUUAGUAUAAUGGUGUAAAUACAUCCAUAAUCUUGACAUCAGUAACUUAAAAAAGCUUCUAGCAAAAUGCUAAGAUGCUGCGGAUAGAUGCAAUAAUAUUACAUGAAUACAUGCUCAUUACUAUUUAUGAUAAAGGCUCUUUUCUUUCUUUCUUUUUGGUGAUUAGGUUUAAUUCAACCCUAUCUUUCCAUUAAAUCCUCUUUUUUUCUCAAACUCAAGCUAAAUUAUCUAGAGAUUUUAUGUGCGCAUUACUAUUUAUGAUAAAGUUUGUCUUUUGUGAUUAUUUUUAAUUCAAUCUAUUUGUCCAAUAAAACUUCUUUUUUCGCAAACUUGAGGUAAAUUAUCUAGGAUUUUGGCUAUUAAAGUUUGUCUUUUGUGAUUAUUUUUUUCCGUGUACCCCCUCCUCUCUCAUCAACCUAACCGCCGUUUCUCUCAACUCACAGUCAUGGACAUGUCCGAUUUAGUUUUUCUUUUUCAUUAUUAUGGCUCGUGUAUAAAGUCAUUACUAAAAAAGCAACAUUGUGAACAGCAAGUGAAUGAAUUUAUUUUGCACACGGGUGCAAAUAAAAACCUGAAGGCCAAGACUGAAGCAACAGUCCUUUUUCGCUGAUUCUACCUUACAGCUCAUUUUGGGUUAGGCUAAAAAUUUGGUCUUGCCUAGCUUGGAUUCUUCAAUUAUUUCCUUUAUUGGCUAACUUAACUAAUUGACCACAUUAUUGAAAUGAGCAACAAAAAUCACGGCAUAAACUCGAAAAUGGCCCGAAAUGAGCCAAAAAGUGGAUUACGGUUUAUGAAAAUAGUUGAUACAUAAUAAUUGUUUAACUUAUCAAAGAUAGGAAAGAUUCACAUUUUUAAAACUUUAAAAGCAACACGUGUUGCCCUAAAUUCUUUCAGUACCAGCCUUUUUUUUUCUUUUUCAUUUUUCGGAUCAACCCUGCAAAAUAGCCCUCCAAAAGAUAAGUAAAGUCUAUUUAGCUUAGCCCAAAAUUACAAUCAAACUUACUUCUGAAAUCUGAUUUUUCAGCCAUAGUGAAGGCUAUCCCACCGCUGAAGGGUCGCUUGCCAUUGCAUUGCGGGAGAAGAAGGCCAAGAGGAAGAAGGGGAAAAAGAAAAGAAAAAGAAAAAGAACAAUUAAUUAAAAAGUCAAAAAAAUUAUUUAAAAAUGACCACAUCAGCCUUCACGGGCGAAAACAAGUUGGGGGAUGCCUCUAGUCAUGGUGGAACGUGAGAAGAGGUUGGGGGAUGCCUCUAAUUAUGGUGGACUUAUAUUAUUGUUUGUAGUUUCUUAUAACAAUUUGUUGGUAAGAUUAGUCGUGGUCUUAAAAUUCUUGUGUAAAUUAUUUUAUUAGAGAUCAUCAUUUACCUUCAAAUUAUUUCCAACUAUUCCCUUUGGGUCCCUCUUUAAGCUGUAUCGCUAGGGCAAUUAGAGAAAAAAAACAUUCUUAGUCAAUGAAAAUGAGGAUAUUUUUCCCCAUCAUUCCUCCUACCUCAAGAGAUUCUUCCUUUUUUCUUCUUCCUUUUCUUUUCUUCCUUUUUUUGCCCUCCUUUUGAUUGUUUCACUUUUCAAAAAUGGGUUAAGUUUUAGGUUUGAAAUUGGAGUGCGUUUUGGCAAAGGUGCAUUGGGGAACUAUUGAUUUAUCCCCCCAAAAAAAGAAAAGAGACUGGAAAAAGAAGGAAGGAAGAUAAAAUAGAACGGAUCCAAGAGGAGUAAAUGUGUAAAUCCUUCGUUUCCCCUUGUGUGCGGGGAGGCUUCGAAAUUGGGGGUUGGAUUUAGAUCUGAAUCCAAUCGGAUGUGUUUUUUUUUUUUUUUUGGGAUAGAGUCCCGAUAUGCUGCCUUGAGCAUACAUGAUCGGAUAUGACCAUGGCAAUUCUAAUCCAACCAGUCGAGCUUGCCUGUCCAUUUCGAUUUUAGAAUACACUAGUGUCGCGACCUACCCUCGGGGGGAGGGAACAGGUUUAGGGGUGUUGCCUAAAAGACGAGCCUAAAGCCCAUGAUUGGGCGCGAGUUCUCCCAAGCCCAUACCCCGCGUGACAUUGGAAUAUUCUUAGGGAAUUUUGCACAAAAGGAGUCGCCACUAGCCUAUUGGGGUCGGCUAGAAACCAAGUGAGGCAUGGGAGUGUGCCUCACUUCCUACGCAACCAGAGAAUCUAUAGUUGGGGACUUGAUUACACUAAUUAACCAAUUAAUGCCAUUUCGGUACCUAAUCUUAUUCAUUUUAACAAAAUGAUUUUUGGCAGGCAAUUUAGAUUGAUUUUAUGUUUACCCACUAGCAUGCGAAGUGAUCAUGCGGGUGCGCAGUUAUUAAAAUAACAAUUAGCAACUAAGGAAAACGUUAAAUAAAUUGCACGAGAAAGCAAAGAAUUAAUAUUAUAGAGAUGACAAAUGCUAAUCCUGACUAGACUAAAGAGAAGCCAAACUCCACAUAUCAAUAUUGUGCACUUAAAGACAAUUGUCCCUAAGGACGGUUGAAACCCUAAGGUAAAGCCCCAAAGGCUUAGUCAAUUUUUAAGCACAACUCUAGAAUUAAGAAACUUCCAUUUUUUUUAGAAAGAAACUUAUAAAAUCUUUUUGUAAAAAUUUUCAAAAGAAAAUUGAAUUUCCUGACAUUUUCCAAUUUUUUUAUUUUUUAAAAUUUUUUAAUUAAAAAACUCGGAUUUUCAAUUUUUUUUUUGUUCUUUUUAAUAGUUAAUAUUAUUAUAAUCAGAAAAACGGGUCCGGACCAGUAAACCCAAUCCGGUCCUCUGGCUUGACACAAACUCCGAGUAAAACUAAAAAAGAGGAAAUCGAUUUCUUAAAACCCAUUUUUUGUUUCUUUUGUUUUUUCGUUCUUUAUAUUAAUAUUAAUAUUUUAAUCGAUUUUUUGUCUUUUCCCUAUUUCAUCUUUUUACUACGUCUCUUCUCUGCGGCUCCUCUUCCCGAAGUCUGCUUUUGUGUUUCACUUUUUCUGCAAUUUUCUUUUUCUUUCCUCUUUUUUUUAACUUCAUCCCUUUUGGCCUUCUUCCCCACAAAUUUUCCUCUCCGAACGUCUUCUUUUCCCUUUUGUCUUUUCCCACUUUUACAUUUUUUAUUUUUUCUUUCUACCCAUCUUCUUCUUCUUCGUGCAUUCUCUGCACGCCCAAAAAUGGACGAAACGGACGAAACAAAAAUGUGCGGAACAGCAACAAAACGCAUCUAUCAACGGCGGGCGCGUAUAAUGGACGAGGGUUCAAGAAUAGUCAUGCUAGCUUCACUCAAGCAUUUAUACAAACAGUUCGCGAGCAUUACCAAAUGUUUGGAUUUCCGACUCAACCGAGACUCGAAAUGGGACCAGGGUUCUCGGAAAACGACCAGCAACACACACAGGUUUGGCUAAAGAUUUACAGGCGCCGAAGGAACCAAAGCUCAUGCGAACAGGUCGUCCACGAGCUCUGGUCCGACGCCCUACAAAAACGGAGCAUACAUGAGUAAAGAAGACCUACUUGGUUCAACGAGAAGAGCCGCGACGGACCGCAACUCACGAACGGACCACCGAUGGCGGCCACAACUCCCCUUCGACCUCUCUCUCUUGGAUAUCUCUCCCUUCCCGGUUCUCCGUCUCUUCUCUCUUCCCUCGCCGCUUUUCUUUUUUCCCCCUUGCUUUAGAUCUGGAUUCUAGGGAAGAUGGCGGCGAACGGCGUCGAUUGGGUGGCUCGUUGGCGACGGUGGUGGUGGUCCGGAGAGGCCUG